AGAGAGCGAAAAUACCAUAACAAAUGCAUAAGACAAAGACACAAAUACCCAAUUUUUUGUCCCUUAGUGUGUAACCUGUUUUUCAAGAUCCGCAACUUGAGUUGCGAAACAAACUUUGACAGUUCGUGCCUUCAUCGUGCUUGGUGUUCGAAUUUUGGAUAUUAUUUAGUAAAAAAUCGAUAGGAGUACAUUGAAAAGACGGUGAAAUUAUCUUAAUAUAGACAUCGAAGUAAAUAGAAUGGUGCGUUGUCGUGUUAUUGCAUGUAUAAGCGAUAGUGAGAAGAAAAUUGCCGGUGUGUCUUUUCACGCAUGAUCCAGACCUACGUAAUUAAUGGAUUGAAGUGGUAGAAAAGAUUGGAUUCUCACAAAAUAUUGUAAAAUAUGAACAAGCCAAUGAA